AGAAACCCCCUCGUGUGAAUAAUGCGAGGGCUUGACGGUACCCCCAAAGGAAGCACCGGCUAACUCCGUGCCAGCAGCCGCGGUAAUACGGAGGGUGCAAGCGUUAAUCGGAAUCACUGGGCGUAAAGCGUGCGUAGGCUGUUUCGUAAGUCGUGUGUGAAAGGCGCGGGCUCAACCCGCGGACGGCACAUGAUACUGCGAGACUAGAGUAAUGGAGGGGGAACCGGAAUUCUCGGUGUAGCAGUGAAAUGCGUAGAUAUCGAGAGGAACACUCGUGGCGAAGGCGGGUUCCUGGACAUUAACUGACGCUGAGGCACGAAGGCCAGGGGAGCGAAAGGGAUUAGAUACCCCUGUAGUCCUGGCAGUAAACGGUGCACGCUUGGUGUGCGGGGAAUCGACCCCCUGCGUGCCGGAGCUAACGCGUUAAGCGUGCCGCCUGGGGAGUACGGUCGCAAGAUUAAAACUCAAAGAAAUUGACGGGGACCCGCACAAGCGGUGGAGUAUGUGGCUUAAUUCGAUGCAACGCGAAGAACCUUACCUGGGCUUGACAUGUAAUGAACAACAUGUGAAAGCAUGCGACUCUUCGGAGGCGUUACACAGGUGCUGCAUGGCCGUCGUCAGCUCGUGUCGUGAGAUGUUUGGUUAAGUCCAGCAACGAGCGCAACCCCUGUUGCCAGUUACCAGCACGUGAAGGUGGGGACUCUGGCGAGACUGCCCAGAUCAACUGGGAGGAAGGUGGGGACGACGUCAGGUCAGUAUGGCCCUUAUGCCCAGGGCUGCACACGUACUACAAUGCCCAGUACAGAGGGGGCCGAAGCCGCGAGGCGGAGGAAAUCCUAAAAACUGGGCCCAGUUCGGACUGUAGGCUGCAACCCGCCUACACGAAGCCGGAAUCGCUAGUAAUGGCGCAUCAGCUACGGCGCCGUGAAUACGUUCCCGGGUCUUGUACACACCGCCCGUCACACCAUGGGAGUCAGUAACGCCCGAAGUCAGUGACCCAACCGUAAGGAGGGAGCUGCCGAAGGCGGGACCGAUAACUGGGGUGAAGUCGUAACAAGGUAGCCGUAUCGGAAGGUGCGGCUG
rnacentral:rRNA from 1 species